rnacentral:tRNA from 1 species
AUAGCUCAAUGGAUAGAGCUACUCCGUCCUAAGGAGAGGAUCCUGGUUCGAUUCCGGGU